CCAUUUUCUUGACAAGUUCGGGUGGAUUUGGAGUGGGUUGAUUUUUAUCUUAUUUUUUGCUCUCACUUUAAAUCUAUACAGGACGAGUCUAGAAUGAGCAAAAUUUUGAUGAAUUUUUGAUAGUUCGUAAGUAUCAAUUAAUAGGAAGGAGUCUCCCACCUCCUACUGUAUCUUCUUAACGGAUAAGAGUGGAUUUCGAAUAAUCAACUAUUUUUUGACUAAAUUAUAAAAAAAUUUCUAUAAAUAUCCGCUUUUUUUUUUUACUUUCCCUCAAAAAAUUUAUAUUUUGCCCCCUUAUAAUUUCAAAAAUAUUUUCAGGAGGACGCAGCGUUAAUGGAAAGGGCAAAAUGAUUAAAUUAUUCUUACUUCUUCCAUAAGAAAAAAAUAAAUUUUAAUAUAUUUUUGUUACUUUAAAGGAUAUUUUUGAUAUAAAUUAUAAGAAAUGGACGGAAUAGUGAUGGAAUCUUGACGGAAGGAAAUUAAAUGUAACAACUUGAAAUAUUGAGAGAUAAAAAAUAUAAAAUUUUAAAAGUUACUAAGUUAGGAAGAAAAAGUAAAAAAUAAGUAUUUAUAUAAAAGUUUUUUAUAAUUUAGCCCUAUUUUUUCUCUAAUUUUAGUCCUUACUUA
rnacentral:lncRNA from 1 species